ensembl:rRNA 5S_rRNA 5S ribosomal RNA
GUCUAUGGCUAUACCACUCUCAACGCACCCAACUUGUCUGAUCUCAGAAGCGAAUCAGGUUCGGGCCUGGUUAGUACUUGGAUGGGAGAAAAUAAAAACUGGCGGAGGUUGGGAAGACUGGCACAAUGGCUC